rnacentral:rRNA from 1 species
AACGAACGCUGGCGGCAUGCCUAACACAUGCAAGUCGAACGAGACCUUCGGGUCUAGUGGCGCACGGGUGCGUAACGCGUGGGAACCUGCCCUUAGGUUCGGAAUAACUCCCCGAAAGGGGUGCUAAUACCGGAUAAUGUCUUCGGACCAAAGAUUUAUCGCCUUUGGAUGGGCCCGCGUUGGAUUAGCUAGUUGGUAGGGUAAAAGCCUACCAAGGCGACGAUCCAUAGCUGGUCUGAGAGGAUGAUCAGCCACACUGGGACUGAGACACGGCCUAGACUCCUACGGGAGGCAGCAGUGGGGAAUAUAGGACAAUGGGCGAAAGCAUGAUCCAGCAAUGCCGGGUGAGUGAUGAAGGCCUUAGGGUUGUAAAGCUCUUUUACCCGGGAUGAUAAUGACGGUACCGGGAGAAUAAGCUCCGGCUAACUCCGUG